ACGGUACCGGAGGAAUAAGCACCGGCUAACUUCGUGCCAGCAGCCGCGGUAAUACGAAGGGUGCAAGCGUUAUCCGGAUUCAUUGGGUUUAAAGGGUGCGUAGGCGGGGUGGUAAGUCAGUGGUGAAAUCCUGCGGCUCAACCGUAGAAUUGCCAUUGAUACUGCCAUUCUUGAGUAGGCUCGACGUGGGCGGAAUGUGCCGUGUAGCGGUGAAAUGCUUAGAUAUGGCACAGAACACCGAUAGUGAAGACAGCUCACGAGGGCCAAACUGACGCUGAGGCACGAAAGCGUGGGGAUCGAACAGGAUUAGAUACCCUGGUAGUCCACGCUGUAAACGAUGAUCACUCGAGAUCGGCGAUAUACGGUCGGUCUCCUAGCGAAAGCGUUAAGUGAUCCACCUGGGGAGUACGACCGCAAGGUUGAAACUCAAAGGAAUUGACGGGGGCCCGCACAAGCGGUGGAGCAUGUGGUUUAAUUCGAUGAUACGCGAGGAACCUUACCAGGGCUCGAACGCACGACGACAGGGGUGGAAACAUCCUCUUCUUCGGACG
rnacentral:rRNA from 1 species